rnacentral:lncRNA from 10 species
AUUGUUCAAAUUAUCAUGACUUCCAGAAGAUUCAGGGUCUCAGUCUGCCACCCUAGCUGGAGUGCAGUGGUGUGAUCAUCGCUCACUGAAGCCUGGAACUCCUGGGCUCAAGUUUCCUCCUGCAUCAGCCUAAGUAGCUGGGACUACAGGUGUGCAUCACCACCGUGCCUGGCCUGAAAAUAUUUAUUGAAAACCACCUUGUGUACAGAGUGCUGUGGAAGGAUGAAGAAGACAUUGGAGAUCUUCAUUCUGUUGUUGAGGAACUACCAUCUAAAUUGGAGCUGAAAGCCUGUGAAAAUUGAUGUAAAUGCUUAUGAAAUAGCGGAGAAAGGACAAAUGAGCACUUCGACAAAGAAAGGGGAGGGACAGGAUAUUUUGUGUUUCUUCCCACUCUGACAGUGGCUGCCAGAGGCUGCCUUUCUGCAGCAAACUUCCCAUGUUUUCUUUUUAUAAGGUUUUUGGCCACCUAUUAAUUUUCUUCAGCCUUCUCUGGUUGAUCUUGUUCUGAUUUAGUUUCCUUUUGGGCAAGGAUGUGGGUCUAAUCAUUAACUCAGCCUACAGGCUUGUUGCCUUCAAAGAGUAACUCCUUCAAUCCAGGGGGCUGCGGUGGGGAAACAAAUAUCCAACACUUUUAAAGGAAAGCCAAAAAAAAAAAAAAAAGAAUUUAAAUUUUGCUCUUUGAAAAUAAGAGAAGGGGCCGGGCGCGGUGGCUCACGCCUGUAAUCCCAGCACUUUGGGAGGCCGAGGCGGGUGGAUCAUGA